ACUCCUACGGGAGGCAGCAGUGGGGAAUUUUGGACAAUGGGCGAAAGCCUGAUCCAGCAAUGCCGCGUGUGUGAAGAAGGCCUUCGGGUUGUAAAGCACUUUUGUCCGGAAAGAAAUCCUUGGCUCUAAUACAGUCGGGGGAUGACGGUACCGGAAGAAUAAGCACCGGCUAACUACGUGCCAGCAGCCGCGGUAAUACGUAGGGUGCGAGCGUUAAUCGGAAUUACUGGGCGUAAAGCGUGCGCAGGCGGUUUGCUAAGACCGAUGUGAAAUCCCCGGGCUCAACCUGGGAACUGCAUUGGUGACUGGCAGGCUAGAGUAUGGCAGAGGGGGGUAGAAUUCCACGUGUAGCAGUGAAAUGCGUAGAGAUGUGGAGGAAUACCGAUGGCGAAGGCAGCCCCCUGGGCCAAUACUGACGCUCAUGCACGAAAGCGUGGGGAGCAAACAGGAGUAGAUACCCCUGUAGUCCCA
rnacentral:rRNA from 1 species